rnacentral:rRNA from 1 species
CAAAGGCAUGGUCCCGACCUUACUAUCAGCUCUAGCCCGACUUACACAUGCAAGUCUCCGAACCCCGUGAGUAAGCCCCUUAAUCCCCUGCCCGGGGACGAGGAGUAGGCAUCAGGCACAAAUCUUUAGCCCAAGACGCCAGGCCGAGCCACACCCCCAAGGGAAUUCAGCAGUGAUAAAUAUUAAGCCAUAAGUAAAAACUUGACUCAAUUAGCGCUAAGUAGGGCCGGUAAAACUCGUGCCAGCCACCGCGGUUAAACGAGAGGCCCAAGUUGAUAGUAUAACGGCGUAAAGGGUGGUUAAGGAUAAUAAAAUAAUAAAGUCGAACGGCCCUUUGGCUGUCAUACGCUUCUAGGAGUCCGAAGCCCAAUAUGCGAAAGUAGCUUUAGAAAAGCCCACCUGACCCCACGAAAGCUGAGAAACAAACUGGGAUUAGAUACCCCACUAUGCUCAGCCAUAAACCCAGAUAUCCUCCUACAAUUAGAUAUCCGCCCGGGUACUACGAGCAUUAGCUUGAAACCCAAAGGACCUGACGGUGUCUCAAACCCCCCUAGAGGAGCCUGUUCUAGAACCGAUAACCCCCGUUAAACCUCACCACUUCUAGCCAUCCCAGCCUAUAUACCG